UACAGAGGGUGCGAGCGUUAAUCGGAAUAGCUAGGGCGUAAACGUGCGCAGGCGGUGAUGUAAGACAGGUGUGAAAUCCCCGGGCUUAACCUGGGAACUGCAUUUGUGACUGCAUCGCUGGAGUGCGGCAGAGGGGGAUGGAAUUCCGCGUGUAGCAGUGAAAUGCGUAGAUAUGCGGAGGAACACCGAUGGCGAAGGCAAUCCCCUGGGCCUGCACUGACGCUCAUGCACGAAAGCGUGGGGAGCAAACAGG
rnacentral:rRNA from 1 species